rnacentral:rRNA from 1 species
UACGUAGGGGGCAAGCGUUGUCCGGAAUCAUUGGGCGUAAAGAGGCGUGUAGGCGGGUUCGGGUUAAGUCUGCUGUGAAAGUCCAGGGCUCAACCCUGGAAAGCCGGUGGAUACUGUCGGACUAGAGUGCGGAAGAGGCGAGUGGAAUUCCCGGUGUAGCGGUGAAAUGCGCAGAAUAUCGGGAGGAACACCUAUUGCGAA